ensembl:lncRNA
CGGAAAACCUUCGGACUGUACCUGGUGGAGAACAAGCUUGGCGGGUGUAGCUGGGGUGAAGCAUGGCCACACAGCUUUUGGGGUCCGUCGCUAUGCGGUGGAGACACUUUGGUGAGCAUUUUCUGUGGAUAAAGGCUGCAAGCCGGUGGUUGUGCCAGCUAGUUGGGCGUGCACACAUCUAGAUUUCAGCAAGCGGGCAGCUGAAAGCGGUGGCGUCGAAUGUGCUGUUUUUCCUCCAGCUGCUAGGCAGAAGCUAGCUGGUUAGUGGUGAAUGAUCAUGCAGCUGCUGUGCAAAUUGCUGCCGGGAGCAGCAAUACCCACAGAGAGGUCUGCGGAAGAUUUAAACUCUCCAGCAGGGUUUCUCUGUGUAGCUUUGAAGUCUUUCCUGGAACUCGCUCUGCAGACCAGGCUGGUUUUGAACUCACAAAGAUCCGCCUACCUUUGCCUCCGG